rnacentral:tRNA from 1 species
GCUGGCGUAGCUUAACCAAAGCAUGACACUGAAGAUGUUAAGAUAGGCCCUGAAAAGCCUCGUAAGCA